rnacentral:piRNA from 1 species
ACAAAGAAUGGUAGCAGUGGACUGAG